UACGUAGGUGGCAAGCGUUGUCCGGAUUUACUGGGCGUAAAGGGCGCGUAGGCGGGUGCUCAAGUCCGGGGUGAAAUCCUCCAGCUCAACUGGAGAACUGCCUCGGAUACUGGGUGCCUCGAGGGUGGUAGGGGUAUGCGGAACUAUCGGUGGAGCGGUGAAAUGCGUUGAUAUCGAUAGGAACUCCGGUGGCGAAGGCGGCAUACUGGACCACAUCUGACGCUGAGGCGCGAAAGCCAGGGGAGCAAACGGG
rnacentral:rRNA from 1 species